rnacentral:tRNA from 1 species
GCGUCGCUAGCUCAGCUGGAUAGAGCGUUGGUCUCCGAAGCCGAAGGUCGUAAGUUCGAAUCUUACGCGACGCG